rnacentral:rRNA from 1 species
UAUAAGUGAUGGCGACCGGCGCACGGGUGAGUAACACGUAUCCAACCUGCCGAUAACUCGGGGAUAGCCUUUCGAGAGAAAGAUUAAUACCCGAUGGUAUAAUAAAACCGCAUGGUUUAAUUAUUAAAGAAUUUCGGUUAUCGAUGGGGAUGCGUUCCAUUAGGCAGUUGGUGAGGUAACGGCUCACCAAACCUUCGAUGGAUAGGGGUUCUGAGAGGAAGGUCCCCCACAUUGGAACUGAGACACGGUCCAA